rnacentral:rRNA from 1 species
UGGGUGGAUACAGAGGGCCGGCCGCUGGCAACAUCGGUCCAAUCCUUAAAGUCAUCCUCAGUUCGGACUGGGGUCUGCAACCCGACCCCACGAAGCUGGAUUCGCUAGUAAUCGCGCAUCAGCCAUGGCGCGGUGAAUACGUUCCCGGGCCUUGUACACACCGCCCGUCAAGCCAUGAAAGCCGGGGGCGCCUGAAGUCCGUGACCGCGAGGGUCGGCCUAGGGUGAAACCGGUGAUUGGGGCUAAGUCGUAACAAGGUAGC